UUCACGCCACCCUGUCUGCGUUGCACUAAACGAUGAGCAUCACAAACACCAGGAAUCUAGGAAACAGCACUUUCACAUUUACCGCUAACCCAGUAAUCACUCCUUUCAAUGGUGCCCUUUUCUUGAGAGCAAAACAAGUCACAUCUCUUGUUCCAAUUCGUUUGGCGCGAAGCACCUACUCCCUCUGACCAGCAGAAGCACAAACAAUCAUCACAAGACCACUUUGGGUUACCUUCAGCGAUUCCACAGCACCCAACUCCGUUUUCACCCACCCUGAAACCACAAAUGGAUCAGCCAAAAGGCAGUAGCCCACCUUCAAAAAUGUCACUCCUACUGUCACAGACUCAUCUUUAUCCUGACCAUCGAUGCAAACCUCAUGCUCCAAGGAUUAACACAGCUGCCACCUCCGAUAAUUCGCCCUCACUCACUUCCAUUUCUCCUCCAGAUCUCAAUCCAGCGUACGACUCACUCUGCUUACACUUUCUAACAUUCUUCUUUGACAUACCAUCUUCCUCCCACUCUCUCUUUGACCUCCUCUGCCUCUUUUUCCCUCCAUUCCUCUUCUGUAUUCCAAGUAUAUAUCUCCUUAUGAUAAUAUUGCACUUCUACAUAUCUCAUUCUUAGAUGCCAUUUUCAUCCUCAAUCAUUUUUUUCUGGCUAAGACCCUUUCGAUCCAUGUUUACUGUUACAAGCUCCCAAUCAGCUCCUCCUCCUUCUUUAAAUUUAUAUGGCAGAUCAUAUCCAACUGAACGGUGCAUACACCGCCACCUACUGUACUGGAGUGUGAGGCCGGUCUCCCUAUAGAUGGGUUAGGUGAAAACGUCACGAGCAUGCUUCAAUGGGUCAGAAGUCCGUUGUUGUUGUGAUUUCUGGAUGGCCAGAUAGCUACGAACAAUGACAAGAAACUGCCAUGUGGGUUAUCGUAAAUUACUCCUUUCAUCUUGUUCUUGAUACAAUGUAUUGUUUUGAGGUGUUUUGGCUGAUAUAUUUGUUGUCAAUAAACAUUGGAGACAAAAUAUAGUUUACAUGUUGUCAACUAAGCCAACAGUCUGUUUUGCCCUAUAGUUGUGCACGUGUCUUUUUUUUGCCAAACAACUAUUAAUCUAUUUCUCUUAUCUAGCCAAGCGUUUUUGCCAAUGGCGUAACACCCCCCCACGUAGCUCUCAAACUCUAGGCGGCCUUCUCCCUACAGUUUUCAGCCACUAUCUUCACCCACGACAACCUCAUGUGAACUUCAUUCCCAACGCUGUGUUUUAAAGUUUAGAAACCUCAAUAAAUCAUUGCUUGUGAUAUGGCUUUCGAAAUAUAUGGCACUUAUCUUUAAUCAGCGAAAAAUUAUACUUACUGUAGCAGUUUUGCAUAGAUCCAUACUGCUAUGGGUACUUCCAUCCGACAAAGCUACACUUCCGCUACACUUUCCGAAUUACACUUACAAACAGGUGUUCGGAGCAUGCUAAAUAGUUAAAUAGCACAGGUGGCUGCCUCUUGUCUUCCAUAAACAAGCGCUGUAACAUGGAGAUAUGGCCCUGUGGGAACACUAACCCUAUCAAGGUGUGCAUCAAUUUAACCAUAUAUAUUCUUUUAGCUGAUAUGAAAGAUAAGGUCCUCAUGCUUCCCAAACCGUACUGCAAGCAACACGUUUUAAUGUUUCGAUUGAGUGUCAGGGCUCUUAACAAAACUUCCCCGUUACGCCACUUGUUUUCGCCUACUGUUCUAGAAUGUGAAAUCAUUACACUUUGUGACACAAAGGGAAGGGAAAAAGGAUAGGGAAGAAAAAUUGCCCUACCAACUAACAUGACACCCAUUAAAACCUCACCACUAUUCCACUACUUGGCCCUAUUUGAUCCUACACCAGGCUGGCUGCCUGGGAGGAUGGGACACUAUCAUUCAACACACCUUGUAACUCUUCUGCAGUAAAAUCUCGUACAGCUAAAUACUUCUCUGUGGCGGCCACCACUAUAUCUAUUUUCUGUGAUUUCCUUUCCAUUUCUGUGUUACAGUUGAUAACCAUGGCUAUGAACACUAAGAAGCCAACCUUACUGAAAUACAUGUUCAUUUUUAUCACUCUCUAUUGCCUCUGUCUACUCACAGGGAGCCUCUUAGGAUCCCUCGCCCUGGAUCAGUUCCUCAGUUCCAAUGCCACGUGCCAUUCCAAAAAUGGCUACGGUGACUACUGCUAGCUAGCUAGAAGAAAAGGGCAGUUUUCUGGGAAAACUAGCAGUAUUUCAAUCUUCUCAACGGAGCAGUGUGGAUAAAGGUACAAUUUGGAGUACAGUGGCAUAUCCCAUCCCUGCAUUGAGUUGGGCACCUGUGUGCAGAUUGCAGCUCUGUGCUGGGGUAAGAAUGUCGGACUAGAGCGAUGAUGCGAGUGAAUCGGAGCAGUUUGGUGUCAGCCUCUCCCUGUGGCUAGGGGACAUUAACACUUUAGUACGACCUGAGGAAUUGGAUGUUCCACUCCACCACCACACUGCCUGCUACAUUAGCCAGUAUGAUGUAGCAUCAGUGUAUUAAAAAAGGGGAGGUGAACGUGGAUUAAAGAACAUUGGUAGCUGGACUCCGCUGAUGUAUGCUUCAUAGAUUGGGCAUGUCAACAUUGCUAAUCUCUUGCUGGAAGCUGAAGUGAAGGGCAAUGCCACCACUGGCAAAGGCCUGACACCCCUUAUGCUGGCAGCGAGCUGUGGGAAUGAAAACCCUGGAUACUUCCUAAUGCAGGUCAGAUUUACUUCUCUGAAUCAAAUAUUGUUUUAAUUUGUAACGCAAAUUAACCUCAAGUUUAGGUUGAACGUUAGUGUAAUGGGUGAUGGUGUUGUACAUUAUGGAAAGAUUUCUCCCAAAAACAAGGUGCUGAGUUGGAGCUGAAGACUCAAGGCUGGACAGCCCUGCUCCACUGCAUCAGCAGAUGGUUAAGUUCCUGCUGGCCCAUAAUGCCAAUGUAAAGUGAGUAUCUUCAGUUAAUGAAUACAACCACAACAAUCUAUGUCCAACUACUCAAUCAUGAGGUGUGUAAUGACACAUUUCUCACCUGCAGAGAGCCAGGGUCUGGCUUCACUACCUCAUGAAGCUGGUUGAGAGAAUGCCAAGAUUAGCUACUCUGUUUAAUAACACUUUUUUGGUUACUACAUGAUUCCAUGUGUGUUAUUUCAUAGUUGAUGUCUUUUAUUAUACAAUGUAGA